UGGGUGAUCUGCCCUGCACUUUGGGAUAAGCCUGGGAAACUGGGUCUAAUACCGAAUACACCUUGCUGGCUGCAUGGCCUGGUGGGGAAAGCUUUUGCGGUGUGGGAUGGGCCCGCGGCCUAUCAGCUUGUUGGUGGGGUGAUGGCCUACCAAGGCGACGACGGGUAGCCGGCCUGAGAGGGUGUCCGGCCACACUGGGACUGAGAUACGGCCCAGACUCCGUACGGGAGGCA
rnacentral:rRNA from 1 species